ensembl:snRNA
GUAUUGUAUGAAAGGAGAGAAGGUUAGCACUCCCCUUGAUAAGGAUGGAAGAGGCCCUUGGGCCUGACAACACGCAUAGGGUUACGACACUGCCACCAACUUCAUGGCAUCUAGCCUUGUAAUGUU